rnacentral:rRNA from 1 species
CAGUAGCCGCGGUAAUACGAAGGGUGCAAGCGUUAAUCGGAAUUACUGGGCGUAAAGCGCGCGUAGGUGGUUCGCCAAGUUGGAUGUGAAAUCCCCGGGCUCAACCUGGGAACUGCAUCCAAAACUGGCGAGCUAGAGUAUGGUAGAGGGUGGUGGAAUUUCCUGUGUAGCGGUGAAAUGCGUAGAUAUAGGAAGGAACAUCAGUGGCGAAGGCGACCACCUGGACUGAUACUGACACUGAGGUGCGAAAGCGUGGGGAGCAAACAGGAUUAGAUACCCCAGUAGUCCCUGUCUCUUAUAC